rnacentral:rRNA from 1 species
UCCGUAGGCGGUGCGGCAAGUCGAUAGUGAAAUCCCUGGGCUUAACCCAGGGGCUGCUAACGAAACUGCCGUGCUCGAGUGUGAGAGAGGCGAGUGGAAUUACGGGUGUAGCGGUGAAAUGCGUAGAUAUCCGUAGGAACAUCCGAGGCGAAAGCGGCUCGCUGGAUCACAACUGACGCUGAGGAACGAAAGCUAGGGGAGCAAACAGGAUUAGAUACCCUGGUAGUCCUAGCCCUAAACCAUCAGGACUUGGGGUUUGCCCUGUACGGGGCAAGUCCCGUAGCUAACGCGUUAAGUCCUGCGCCUGGGGAGUACGGUCGCAAGGCUGAA